GUUUAACAACUAGUGUCAAAGAAACUGAUCUAGAAGGAACAUGAUUUUACAAAUGCAUUUGCUCUGGCUGCUGUUCUCUGUGUUUGAAGAAUCCAGUGGGCAGAUUGUUAUCACUCAGACACCUGCUUCUGUGACGGUGCUUCCAGAAGAGACGGUCACCAUUCAGUGCAAGGCAUCCAGCUCCGUUAGCAAUGAAAUGGACCUAUAUCGAUUCAGACCAGGAGAGGUUCCCAAGCUCCUCAUUUAUCAUGCCACCAACCGUUUCACUGGGGUCCCCGAUCGAUUCAGUGGUCGAUACAGCGGCACUGACUUCACAUUCACCAUUAGUGGGGUGCAGGCUGAUGAUGAAGGUGAAUACUACUGUCAGCAGGACUAUACAACCCCGCUCACAGUGAUACAACUCAAUGCAAAAACCUCAUUAGUGCUGCAGCCUUCUUGGCAUGAAGCAGAAGGAAACAGCUGCAGUUGUUUCUAAACGAAUGCAUGUGCAAAGUUUCUAAUGAGAAUCAUCCAUAUAGCGGAAGACUCCCAUUGGACUUUCUGAUUAUUGGAUUUAUUCCUCUGAAAUCGUUUUCUGAAUUAGCAGGGGCAGGCACUGUACAGGAAAUAAUUGAGGUACACCAGCUAAUCCCAAUAUCACACAGUCAGGUUAACUAGAACCCGAUGGCCUCCCAAAAUAAUUUCUACUGAAUUGUUUGUAAAAUGAACAGUAUUUUUCCUUUGUGCACACGUCUUCCAGAUCCCCUGCACACAUGAACAAUCCUCUGUUAGUAUUUUCGGAACCAUGAUUAUUAGCACUUCAUUCCCAUAGGCUGUGUCUACACUUAUGGUGGCAUCUAGAUCACAGGCACUACAUUUGUAGCUACGCGCCACAGUUAAAAGGUUCCGGCAGCAGGGAAAGCUCCACCAGCUCCCCACUGCUGGGGCCUUUCACUGCAGCGAAGAAAGGGUCUGGCUUGGGUAGGCUGCGGGGAAAGACUGUCGCAGCAGGUAGGCAGUGGGACAUGCACUGUUAAAAAUACCAGUGUAAACUUCGGAGGCACUGCUUGGGCCAGGAG